AACGAACGCUGGCGGCAGGCCUAACACAUGCAAGUCGAACGCCCUAGCAAUAGGGAGUGGCAGACGGGUGAGUAACACGUGGGAACCUUCCCUAUAGUAUGGAAUAGCCCAGGGAAACUUGGAGUAAUACCGUAUACGCCCGAGAGGGGAAAGAUUUAUCGCUAUAGGAUGGGCCCGCGUAGGAUUAGCUAGUUGGUGAGGUAAUGGCUCACCAAGGCGACGAUCCUUAGCUGGUCUGAGAGGACGACCAGCCACACUGGGACUGAGACACGGCCCAGACUCCUACGGGAGGCAGCAGUGGGGAAUAUUGGACAAUGGGCGCAAGCCUGAUCCAGCCAUGCCGCGUGAGUGAUGAAGGCCUUAGGGUUGUAAAGCUCUUUUGCCGGGGACGAUAAUGACGGUACCCGGAGAAUAAGUCCCGGCUAACUUCGUG
rnacentral:rRNA from 1 species